GAAGGGGGCCGCCAGGGGCUCCACGAGAGCCGCGGCAGCCGCUGCGGGUGCCGCUCUCUGCGCGUAAUCUCCGCGGGGACGCGCUUCGUAAUACUUACUACUAUUUGGAGAUGCGAGUCUCUCAGACUUGUUAUUACUGUAAUUGUUAUUAUCAUUACUGUCAUCGUUAUUGAUUGUUUUGCCCUCUGGCAAACUGGAUGGUUCCUUUGAGGCCGUAGCCAGCGGACCGGUAGUCGCCGCUGACUGGACGCCCCAGCUCACUCCCAGUGGCCCGCACCUGCGGCCACUUUUCCUUGGCUAGUAAACAGACUGGAAACAGGACCAACAUCAUACUCGCUUUGCCAUUGACCUUGUGCAGGCUCUCCAAGGCAUGGCAAAUGCCAUGAUGACACAAGCAAGGUAUCAAGGAAAAAAGGAAGAAGAGCUAGAGAGCUAGUUUAUAGUUCACAAAACCUCGUGGUGGAUUUGUGGUGGAUUAAACAUGGCUGAAAAUUUUUCGAUACUCCUUUCAUCAAGAGAUAAGGUUCAUUUUCUUCUCCUUGAGUCUGGGCUGUUAAUGACAGCCUUGCCCAAUAGAUUAUGGGCCCAAGAGACAUCAUGCCAGUUCUAGGUAUAGAUUUAAGAAGACUGGCAGCUUCUGCCUUUGUUUCUUGGAGCCCUGAGCCACCACACAAGAAGUCCAACUAUCCUGAAGUCACUAUUCAAGAAGCUCAAGCCAUAUUGUGAGAACAUGGAGGAUAAUACUUUGUGUAGAGAGAGAAGCCAACAAUCACAGAGAUGCCACACAUGUGAACGAAGAAACUGUUUUGUAAGUGGAUCAUCCUGUCCCAGCUGUCCUAGCUGAAAAUACAUGGAUCGAGGGGAAAUAGGCCAGCUGAGCUCUUCCUGUAUUCCUCGUCCAUAAUGUCAAAUGAGAGCAAAACAGGAAGAUUUCAUCAGGCCACUCAAUUUUGGAGUAAUGUGUUACACAACAAUAAAGAAUCAGAACAAAGCUGCUCCUUUCAAAAGUGAAUCAUGACAGGGACCCCAGAGCCCACUGCUGGGACCAUCAUCAAUUGGCUUCCUUUGUUUUCUCUAGUAUUUUUUUAUUCUCUCUCUCUUCAUUCUUCAGACUUAUACCCUCAGAUUACAAACACAGCUCAAAACAUUUCUCCCAUAGUUUUGCUUUUGUCUCUUUCCACCGAAAUGUCUUUAACUCUUCUCAUUCACCAUUUGUACCACUUGUAGUUCAAGUUUUAUUUACUAAAGUCUUAGUACAUCAGCCUACUGGAAUGGAUCAGAAGUGGUGAGAAAUAAACUGUAGACUUUUGUGCUUAUAAUAGACAUUUUUAAAAGGAAUGCAGUUUUUAUUUGCAGAUAACACAGCAAUCCACAUUAACUGUUAAGGGCUUUUAAGUUGAUAUUCAUCUAAGCCUGCUUUAAUGAACAGAUAACUCAUUUAUAAUUAGCAAUGCCAAUUAAUUGGCAUGCAAACAAUUAAAGUGAUUAGAGUGCUAAAGUUCUCAAGAACAGUUUUUCCUAAGUUGGUUAUAGACAAACACUCUCUGAUCCUGCAUCUUGUUUUCAUGAUUAAAUUGCUGAGGAAGCCUCUCUUUAUAGAUAGCGCAUGAAGACAUUUUAACUUGUCCAUGGUCAGAUAGCCCUGAUUUGGAAUAAGUGAGCCCUACUUACAAAGAAUUUAUUGUAAUCUGAUUUUUCAAAUAAACGCUUUUUAAAAAAGUUUAAAUGAUGUAUUUUUCAGCCUCCUACUAUAUACUUACUGCCUGUUUCCCUGACUACCACCGCCUCAGCCACCACCCGAGGCCUCAGGAAACUUGAAACAGUCCAAAUCCCAUCCAGAUCACUUUUCUUUUCUAGUUCUUAUAUCUAUCUUAUACCCUAGAAAAUGGGUAAGAAAGAAGGGGUUUUAUUUUAAAUGACUGUGACUCACUUUUAACCUAUGGAGUAUACCAGAAAUGACAUCGUAUGAUUUUGGAGACUAAACCAAAAGAGAGAUUGUAGUUCCUGCCAUGUCCGCUGAGACAUCUGCUUUAGAGACUCUGAGCUGCCACAUAAAACUAUCAACCCCCUUGAGGCUGCCACACUGUGAGGAAGCCCAGGCCACUUGCAGAGGUAUGUAAAGAGGUCUGAUUGACAGUUCUCACUGAGAUCUCGAGUAGCAGCUGGCAGCAAGAACAGACAUGAGUGAAAAUGCCUGAGGUUGGUUCCAUACUCCAGCCCCUGAGUCACCCCACCCAGUCUUCAAGUCUUCCCAGCUAAGGCCCUAGAUAUGCUGGAGCAGAGACAAGCCAUCUCUGCUAUACCCUUUCCAAAUUUCCAACUCACUAAAGUAUGAGCAUAAUAAAAUGGUUACUAUUUUAUCCCACCAAGUUUGAUUUGAUUUAUUAUGCAUCAGUAAUAACUGGAAGAAAGCCUUUUUCCUUCUUGGCUUGAGAUUCUAUACAAUGUCCACCUUUUAUUUUUCUCUUUCACAUGUUUUUUUGUUUGUUCAUUUCUUUUAUGUUUAAAUAACUUAUCCUAUACUGUUUGUGUGUGUUUACUGGUAUUUAAUACAAUUUCCCUUGAGCUAAGUUAGGAGUGGUUGGAAUUCAAAUCCUCUUUGUAAGUUAUUGAUCCCCUAAGUCUCAGCUGCCUUGAUGAUAAGAAAAUCUUCCCCACUUUACAGAGUUGUUGUAAGAAUUAGAGAUAUUGUAGAGAAAGUACCUGGCAUAUAGGAAGCAUCCACAAGAUAAAUGGUAAUUAGUAUUAGAAGUUUUCAGAGACAAGUUAUAUAACCUCAAACCUCAUUUCCCCCUUUAUCCAAAGCACAUUGCUCUAAUGGAGAGUGCAGUGUUCUCAGAGGGAGUUUGUGCAUGCAUGUGGGUGCACACAUGUUGGAUAAAUAGCCACAUGCUGUUAUUGUCUAUCCAUCACUGCAUGAAAUUGGAAAACAACAGCUACAACCAAACCAGAGCAAACCAACCAAAACCACCCCAAGCUCUCUUCAUGGGUAUAUUUUUCUAAAAAAAAAAAAAAAAUGUGCGAACCAUUAAGACCAAAUAUUUAACAGAACUUACUAGGUGGAUUGGUCUGUGGCACAGAUUCAAGUCUGGAGAAAAAGAUCUAUCCCUACCCUGGCUGGAGAUAUGUAUCUUUGGUUUCUGAAAGUGUAGAUUCUCUUUGGCAGAGAUGUUUGACAUUUUGAUGGGCCCAGGACACUUUUAAAAGCUGUGGACCUUCUCUCCAGAAAAAUGAACACACCCAUUCCCCCACAACAUUUGCGUGUUAUUUUAGUAUUCCUAGUUUCUACCAAUAAUAGAUGUUAGAGCCUUCUAAAGGAGCAUGUAGGAAUUUGGGUGCUUGGCUUUGUCAUCCUGAGAUAGUGACUCUAGUUCUGACCAAAACAGGGAAGGCAAUUAUUUUUGGCUGCCCUGUAAGUACUGCUUUGUAAGGAAGGAAGCCGGUGUCUGUUGAGCAUUUUCUAUGGGCCAGGUUAUGUCCAAAGGGCCUUACAUAUCUUAUCAAAUUCUCAG